rnacentral:lncRNA from 1 species
CAGUUUUGCCUAAAGAAUGAGUUUAUCAGGUUGUGUAUUUGUAACGCAGAGAGAACAAGAAAUAAUCAAGUCAAUCUCUUGGAUUUAGAGAUUGUCAUAGCUAUUGCUACUUUGUUAGUCGAGAGAAAAAGAAAAAAAGAUACUGAUUGAUACCACUAUGGCUACUCCAUUAGUUGAGAAAAGAUUGGUAUAGCUGUGGUUUCUUGGUUAGUUGAGAAAUCAUGAAAAGAAAAGAUUGGCACAACUAUAGCUACUUUGUUAGUUGAGAAAAGUGAGAAGAAAGUGUAAUGAUUGGAACAGCUGUAGUUACUUGGUUAGUUAAGAAAACAUGAAAAGAAAAGAUCGUCAUAGCUAUAGCUACUUUGUUAGUCGAGAGAAAAAGAAAAAAAGAUACUGAUUGAUACCACUAUGGCUACUCCAUUAGUUGAGAAAAGAAAUUGGAGCCAUUGUCCAUUAGUCCCAGUGAAAUGGAGAGAAAAACAUGUUCACAGCUCUGAGUUGAUUAAUUUCACCCAUCGUGACUAACAUCCGAGUAUAAUGACAGGCUAGAAGUAGAAAUGACUAGCAAGCGUAUCAUGCAGCUAGACAAGUGUCAUCCUGAGGUCUUGAGCAUUCUGAUGAUGAUGGAACUGUAAGAAGCAAGGGAGGUUCCUUUAGGUCUGAGAAGUACUUAAGAAAUAUUAAAGUUUAAUUACCAUCCAGAUAUCCAAGUUUUUUUUUCUUCCAUCAGAUAACUUGAAUUGUGUUAUUUAAAAAUCAUUACUAUCCCAAUGAAAUUUCCUUCUGGUAUCACAAUAAGCAUAUUGAUGUUAUUACAGACUGUUAUGUUUUAUCAGUGCACAUUUUAAAUGCAUGCAGCCUGUAAAACGUAUUGUAUAUUUCAUAUGUUGGAGAUCCUUCUCUGAAAUACAUGUUUUAUGAUUUUGAGACCUAUCAGGAGUCAAACAGUUAAUUGCUACAUGGCAUGAUUUUUGUUUUAAGAAAAUGUUUUAUUUACUGUUAACACGAGGUGAUUAAUUUGACCGACCAUGUAACAUCUUCGUACUCGUUCAAAGUCUUUCAUGAAUUUCUGUAAAUAACUUUGGUAUCAAACUGUAGAUUAUAAUUCAAAUUUUAGUACUAUACAUUACUUAAUUUCUUAAUUAAAAGUAAAUA